AGCGAACGCUGGCGGCAGGCUUAACACAUGCAAGUCGAGCGGACCUUUCGGGGUCAGCGGCGGACGGGUGAGUAACGCGUGGGAGCGUGCCUUCCGGUUCGGAAUAACCCUGGGAAACUAGGGCUAAUACCGGAUACGCCCUUAUGGGGAAAGGUUUACUGCCGGAAGAUCGGCCCGCGUCUGAUUAGCUAGUUGGUGGGGUAACGGCCUACCAAGGCGACGAUCAGUAGCUGGUCUGAGAGGAUGAUCAGCCACACUGGGACUGAGACACGGCCCAGACUCCUACGGGAGGCAGCAGUGGGGAAUAUUGGACAAUGGGCGCAAGCCUGAUCCAGCCAUGCCGCGUGAGUGAUGAAGGCCUUAGGGUUGUAAAGCUCUUUUAUCCGGGACGAUAAUGACGGUACCGGAGGAAUAAGCCCCGGCUAACUUCGUG
rnacentral:rRNA from 1 species